ACAUACGAUCAUAGGAACUUGAGAACAAGGCUUCCCGUUCGCUCAGCCAUAUUUAAGCAAGUUACCGGCAGAUUAGUAGUCAGGUGGGUGACCACUGGCGAAUACCUGCUGUUGUAUGUUU
rnacentral:rRNA from 1 species